AACCAGCUCUUCAAGUUGUCGGGACGAUUACUGGGCUUAAAGAGUCCGUAGCCGGUUUAGCAAGUCCCUGGUAAAAUCUGGCAGCUUAACUGCCAGUAGGCUAGGGAAACUACUUUACUAGAGGGCGGGAAAGGUCUGGGGUACUUCAGGGGUAGGGGUGGAAUCCUAUAAUCCUUGGGGGACCACCAGUGGCGAAAGCGCCAGACUGGAACGCGCCUGACGGUGAGGGACGAAAGCCAGGGGAG
rnacentral:rRNA from 1 species